CAGCAUGUUUCCAAGGGCUGUGGCUGCUGGUGGCCACGGGUUCUCCAACUGCAUGCGAGAGCAACGUGGAGGGACUUUGACAGCCCAGGUCAAACCGUACCUGCAGCUGCCACUCGCCUUUCCUAUAAAC
rnacentral:snoRNA from 1 species